GACGAACGCUGGCGGCGUGCUUAACACAUGCAAGUCGAGCGGAAAGGCCACUUCGGUGGUACUCGAGCGGCGAACGGGUGAGUAACACGUGAGUAAUCUGCCCCUGGCUUUGGGAUAGCCACCGGAAACGGUGAUUAAUACCGGAUACGACCACUUCUCGCAUGGGAUGGUGGUGGAAAGUUUUUUCGGCCAGGGGUGUGCUCGCGGCCUAUCAGCUUGAUGGUGAGGUAAUGGCUCACCAUGGCUUCGACGGGUAGCCGGCCUGAGAGGGUGACCGAUCACACUGGGCCUGAGACACGGCCCAGGCUCCUACGGGAGGGAGCAGUGGGGAAUGUUGGACAAUGGGCGGAAGCCUGAUCCAGCAACGCCGCGUGAGGGAUGACGGCCUUCGGGUUGUAAACCUCUUUCAGCAGGGACGAAGCGCAAGUGACGGUACCUGCAGAAGAAGCACCGGCCAACUACGUGCCAGCCGCCGCUGUAA
rnacentral:rRNA from 1 species